rnacentral:lncRNA from 1 species
GGGCACCCUCCCCAGCGCAGGCCCCACCCUCCCCAGCCCAGUCCUGCCGCAGUGGCUGUCCCUUGGGGUAGGGAAAUGCCAAAGCAAUCCCUGCCACAUCCAUGUGGGAAGCUGAAAGUGGAUCACCAUGACGUGCCACGCUGCUUCACCCAACCUUGGGCCGCCGGGCUUGACAUGCUCAACUGGGGGCAACGGAGCAAAUUCCCAGAACAAGUUUUGAGAAAGAUGAUUCAGAGCUUUGCAGAGGAUGAGGAAAGGGGAGAGCUUGCAGAUCCUUGCUGCCACCAGGA